rnacentral:misc_RNA from 1 species
AACACUGUUAACCUGCGGUACCUGCGGAAGGAUCAUUAAAAAACUCUUUUGCCCGCGGACUUCUUGUCCAAGGCGCAAAAGACCCACACCCGUGUGCACUGUUAUCGUUUCUUUGGCAGGGGUUUGGGGUGGUUUUUUCCCUCCAACUUCUCCUUCGGCUCUAUCCUUCUCUCUCUCAUGGGGGGAGGACAGCUGGACAUGGGAAGCAGUUUACCCUGCCAAGUAAACCUCAAAACACGC